rnacentral:sRNA from 16 species
UGCGUCACCCGCCCGCACCUGGGUGGUUCGAAAAGGGGGAUCGAUUCUAUGGAGAAAGCCUCUCCGUUCCAAGCCACCUGGUCGUGGCGAGCGUUCAUCGCCUGC